rnacentral:rRNA from 1 species
GUGGGGAAUAUUGCACAAUGGGGGAAACCCUGAUGCAGCGACGCCGCGUGAGUGAAGAAGUAUUUCGGUACGUAAAGCUCUAUCAGCAAGGAAGAAAAUGACGGUACUUGACUAAGAAGCCCCGGCUAACUACGUGCCAGCAGCCGCGGUAAUACGUAGGGGGCAAGCGUUAUCCGGAUUUACUGGGUGUAAAGGGAGCGUAGACGGUAUGGUAAGUCAGAUGUGAAAGCCCGGGGCUCAACCCCGGGACUGCAUUUGAAACUAUCAGACUAGAGUGCAGGAGAGGUAAGUGGAAUUCCUAGUGUAGCGGUGAAAUGCGUAGAUAUUAGGAGGAACACCAGUGGCAAAGGCGGCUUACUGGACUGUAACUGACGUUGAGGCUCGAAAGCGUGGGGAGCAAACAGGAUUAGAUACCCCGGUAGUCC